CUAAAGAUUAAAUUCUUGGGUUACUUUUAUUUUCAUUAUAAAUUAUAUUUCUGGUCAGUAUAACUUGGAAACAUGGGAUGAAUUAACGAUUUUAUGUCGAUGAUAUACAAUUAUAAAUUUCAGAGGAUUUCAGAGACACUCUUGCAUGAAGAUAAAAGUGAAACUCUUAUUGAGGGCGCUGAGCAUGAAAGAGGAAGGAAAGAAUCUGGAUUAUGCUGCAUUAAUCUACAAACUAAGACAAAAGCAAAGAACCUAUGUGUGAUUAUGGACUAUGACUUUUAAAUAUCAGAUUAAUCAAGUGACAAAAACUUAUUAUUUUUGCUCAUCUUGAUUACUGUUAUGCUAUGUAUACUGUCUCAUAGCUUAGCUAAAAUUGAUACAAAAUGUUUUAAUAAAAUUACACUGGUUGCCAGUUCGAGAAAAGAUUGAUUUUUAUGUUAUUAUAUUCCAAAUCAUAAUUUAAAAUGUUCUAGUGCAGGUCUUUUGGAAAACUAUGCAAAAAAAAAUAAAAAAAAAAAUUCAAGGUCAAUCUUUGCUGCUUCGUUUAGCCAACAUUUGGAACUGUCAACCAAUUUAAAUUAGACAGGCUUCAAUCUUUCAGAUUUUCAAAACACAAGUCAAGUAUUUUUAAUUAUUAUUAUUAUUAUUAUUAUUAUUUUAUACACUGAUACAAGUGUGCAUUGUUUUAGUGGGUUGCAGUGUCAAUGUUGAACAAUGUUUAAUUUUGUUUGUAGUUUUUUUUUCAGUUUUUUUUUUCUUCUUGUUAGGCACUUUGAGCUGGAUUUUAGAUAUUAAAAGUGCUAAACAAAGUUUGGUUAAUAUGUUAUUAUAUAAUAACAGAAAGUACCACAACGGAGACUGCAACAACAGAAAGCACCACAAUGACAGAAAUUACCACCACUGGACCGACCACUCCAGGAAGUACAACAAUGGAGACCACAACAAAAGAAAGUUCCACAUCCAGCACAACAACCGAGACUACAACAACAGAAAGCACCACCAGAACUUCAGAAAGUACAACAUUGGAAACCACAACUACUGAAAGCACCACCUCAGGUACCACAACAACAGAAAGCACCACAACUGAGAGAACAACAGAAAUUCCCACAAUAGGUUAAUAGAUUUAAUGUCUUUUUAAAGUAUUUUCUGUAUACAGUGGCUCUAGAUAAAAUUCAAAUAAGAUCCAUAUCUAAUAAAUUGCCCUGAAGGAAUAAAUGCA
ensembl:lncRNA